rnacentral:rRNA from 15 species
GCACUCUGCAAACACGAAAGUGGACGUAUAGGGUGUGAUGCCUGCCCGGUGCUGGAAGGUUAAUUGAUGGGGUCAGCCGCAAGGCGAAGCUCUUGAUCGAAGCCCCAGUAAACGGCGGCCGUAACAAUAACGGUCCUAAGGUAGCGAAAUUCCUUGUCGGGUAAGUUCCGACCUGCACGAAUGGCGUAACGACCUCCCCGCUGUCUCCGACGUCGACUCAGCGAAAUUGAACUGCCCGUGAAGAUGCGGGCUUCCCGCGGUUAGACGGAAAGACCCCAUGAACCUUUACUCUAGCUUCGCACUGGCACCAGGCCAGGCAUGUGCAGGAUAGGUGGUAGGCUUUGAAGCGGGGGCGCCAGCCCUCGUGGAGCCGUCCUUGAGAUACCACCCUUGCCUUGCUUGGUGUCUAACCGCGGUCCGUCAUCCGGAUCCGGAACCAUGCGUGGUGGGGAGUUUGACUGGGGCGGUCGCCUCCCAAACAGUAACGGAGGCGCGCGAAGGUGGGCUCAGGGCGGUCGGAAAUCGCCCGUUGAGUGCAAUGGCAGAAGCCCGCCUGACUGCGAGACUGACA